CUUAGCCCUCCCAGAAACUUACUGGGUCAUUUUGACUGCAAGUGACAGAAAACAAAGUUCAAGCUGCUUGACACAAGAGGAUCUACUGAGCCUUAUAACUUAAAAGUCCAAGGGUGGAUCUUGUUUCGGGCGUGGGUAGAUAAGGGAGCUCGGCCGUGUCAGCAGAUCUGAUUUCUGUCUCAGUGUGUUGGCUCCACCCUUCCUGAUUCUGGCUCCCUGUCUCAGCAAAACUCUCCUUGCUUUACAUUGGGCCUACCCCUAGGCCUGUCAGUGUGGGCUGGGAAUGCAGCACGCUCAUUGGCUUAGGCCUCAUUCCCAUCAUCCAACCCUGGCUCCAGGAGGAUGGGAUUAGUGUGACUCAAACACGUGGAAAGGAGUGGUUCUUCUGAGGAAAACCAGCUGAAGUAUUACAGAAAGAGGAAAUGCUGCAGAGACCCAGCCGGAAACAGUGCUGGCCAGCUCACGCCUGACCCACCCUUAUUCUAAGCAUAGGGUCUGCCUCUGAAGAGCUAAAGACUUCCUGAAAUUUAAAAAUUAGUGCUUUUAUUUGCUUGUCCUGCUAAGACCGUAGGCAAAGGCCAUCCUCCUCCCAUUGACAGUUUAGAGUGGAGCCCAGGAUCCUGGGCAAUUUGGCAAAACCCCAUCUCUACAAAAAAUAAAACAAGGGAAAUCGCUUGAACCCAGGAAGUGGACAUUCCAGCCUGGGCGACAGAGCGAGACUCCGUUUAAAAAACAAAACAAAACAAAACAAAACUGUUUAUAAUAUUAAUAAUAAAUAGUUCCUGAAUGUUCACUUGGAGUCAAAGAGCUGCUAACAACUAGGCCCACAUUCUCAUUGAAUUCUCACUACCACCUUAUGCAGCAGGUACUGUUUUAAUCCUGAGAGAAAACUGGGGCUCAAAGAGGUUAAGUAACUUGCUCACUGUCACAUAACAAGUAGAUGGUGCACUGGACACUUCAGUGCCUACUCACUCCUUUACAAGGGUUCUGAGCCAUGAUUUUUGUGUGGUAAAGAUGAGAGGCAGACAGCUGUUUAUAGAAUUGGAAAAUACUUCUAUCUUUCCUUGAUACCUGCACCCAUCCCCCUUUCAUCCACAUUGCAGUUUUUGCAAAGUCAGUCAGUUAGGAGGGAAACAUCCAUUUAAUUGAGGGGAAGGAGAGUAUUAGCCUCAUCCUUUUUUCUAAGUGGUGGGGGAAAAACCUCCACUGAGAGAGAGAAGAACAAGAAGAAAAAAUUUAACCAGCAAUUUUGUUCACUUGAAGGCAGAAACAACCACGGUUACCCUAGAAGUAAAUCCAGAGCUGCGGGACGCUGGAGGACAAAACCAACCUUCCAGGGAAGCCGAGGAGAAGUCAUGCCUUCAAAAGGUGUCUGCCUUUUUUUUUUUCACCCUCUCUCCUCUAACCUGUUUGUAACUGGGAAAUGAAAUAGUUUUGGUUUGCAAGCUGUCGCCAGGGAGUGGAGCAAGACUUUGUAAUAAACAAGAGCAACUGCCAGAGCCCCCAGCGAGCCUCUCCAAGGCCAGACUGCCAAGAAAAGCUGGCAGUGUGACAGCAAGUUUCAUUCAGCGUGGCCGGUGGUCACUGAGGAGCGACCAUGAGGAGGAUGGCCAGAGGGGGUACCCCCCAGUCUCACCUUGGGGAAGAGUACAGCCUCCUAUUAGUGAGCUGUGUGGGCUAUUAAAAUUCCCCCAGGCUGAGUGUUUCAGGAAACACCAUAAAUAAAUAAAAUUGUCUGUGUG
rnacentral:lncRNA from 1 species